rnacentral:rRNA from 1 species
ACGGGGGAGGCAAGCAUUGUCCGGAAUUAUUGGGCGUAAAGAACACGUAGGCGGUUUUUAAAGUCAAUUGUGAAAACCUUGGGCUUAACCCGAGGAUUGCAGUUGAUACUGGAAAACUAGAGUACAGUAGAGGAAAGUGGAAUUCCUGGUGUAGCGGUGAAAUGCGCAGAUAUCAGGAAGAACACCAGUGGCGAAAGCGGCUUUCUGGACUGUUACUGACGCUGAGGUGUGAAAGCUAGGGGAGCGAACAG